GAUGAUCGCCCUCCGGAUGCGCCUUCCUUCUUGACCUUGCGGGUCUUCAUCUUCUCCACGCGAAGUAGGUCCUUGACUUGGUGCAGUUCUUGGCGAAUCUUUGUCGACUCCUUGAUCAAGAGGUGAGUCAAAGUGUCGGAGGAGAGACUGAAGUAGGUCUGAAACCUUAGUGGCGUCCCGUCCUCUGAAGAUGGGUUGAGUGUCCAACUCCCGUCAAUCCCGUCCUUGAUAAAAGGCAGGUGACGAGUAGCUGGCUCGUUAGACAUCUCGGG
rnacentral:lncRNA from 1 species